rnacentral:rRNA from 1 species
UACGUAGGGGGCUAGCGUUGUCCGGAUUUAUUGGGCGUAAAGAGCGUGUAGGCGGCCAGGUAGGUCUGGUGUGAAAACUCGAGGCUUAACCUCGAGAUAUCAUCGGAAACCAUCUGGCUAGAGUCCGGAAGAGGAGAGUGGAAUUCCUGGUGUAGCGGUGAAAUGCGCAGAUAUCAGGAAGAACACCAAUGGCGAAAGCAGCUCUCUGGGACGGUACUGACGCUGAGACGCGAAAGCGUGGGGAGCGAACAGG